GACGAACGCUGGCGGCAUGCCUAAUACAUGCAAGUCGAGCGAACAGAUGAAGUGCUUGCACUUUUGACGUUAGCGGCGAACGGGUGAGUAACACGUAAGGAAUCUACCUAUAAGCGGGGGAUAACAUUCGGAAACGGGUGCUAAUACCGCAUAAUAUCUUCUUCCGCAUGGAAGAAGAUUGAAAGACGGCUCUGCUGUCACUUAUAGAUGACCUUGCGGUGCAUUAGUUAGUUGGUGGGGUAACGGCCUACCAAGACGAUGAUGCAUAGCCGACCUGAGAGGGUGAUCGGCCACAUUGGGACUGAGACACGGCCCAAACUCCUACGGGAGGCAGCAGUAAGGAAUCUUCCGCAAUGGGCGAAAGCCUGACGGAGCAAUGCCGCGUGAGUGAAGAAGGCCUUCGGGUCGUAAAACUCUGUUAUAAGAGAAGAACAAAUUGUAGAGUAACUGCUACAGUCUUGACGGUAUCUUAUCAGAAAGCCACGGCUAACUACGUGUCAGCCGCCGCCGUAA
rnacentral:rRNA from 1 species